CCUACGGGAGGCUGCAGUAGGGAAUCUUCCUCAAUGGGCGAAAGCCUGAUGGAGCAACGCCGCGUGGGUGAAGAAGGUCUUCGGAUCGUAAAACCCUGUUGUUAGAGAAGAAAGUGCGUGAGAGUAACUGUUCACGUUUCGACGGUAUCUAACCAGAAAGCCACGGCUAACUACGUGCCAGCAGCCGCUGUAAUACGUAGGGGGCAAGCGUUAUCCGGAUUUAUUGGGCGUAAAGGGAACGGAGGCGGUCUUUUAAGUCUGAUGUGAAAGGCUUCGGCUUAACCGGAGUAGUGCAUUGGAUACUGGGAGACUUGAGUGCAGAAGAGGUAAGUGGAACUCGUUGUGUAGCGGUGAAAUGCGUAGAUAUAUGGAAGAACACCGAUUGCGAAGGCAGCUCUCUGGUCUGUCACUGACGCUGAGGUUCGAAAGCGUGGGUAGCAAACAGGAUUAGAUACCCCAGUAGUC
rnacentral:rRNA from 1 species